GCCCACCUAGCUCAGUUGGUAGAGCACGUCCUUGGUAAGGACGAGGUCGUCGGUUCAAUCCCGAUGGUGGGCUCCC
rnacentral:tRNA from 1 species